AGCUUAACAGUUUGGAGGCCUCAUGUACAGAAAUGAAGGGUUAUGGAGCUGCAGUGGUGCUCAACCAACUGUCCUGGCAAAAUUAUUUAGGAGGUAAAAGAACAUUCCCCCCAUUAGGAGCCAAAAAGCCAGGUACUGGUGCCAGUGGCAUAGGAAGUUACAGGAAAAUACAUCAGGGAGCAAGCUCAAAGUAGACUGGAUCAGGCUGAACCCAGCAGUCACAAGCUGGAUGGACACCCCAUGAACACGUAUUGGAGUCCACAGCUGCACAUCCC